ACCCACAAAAUAUGCCACAGGGUGACAAGGAAGAAGCCUGUGGCUUCAGUCCCACCUUUGAUAGGGAGAUGAAUAACAUCAGCUGCAGAGAUGGCACAUUAGCCACUUCCUAGAAGAGAAACGCACAAGGGGUUAAGUUAGAGAGGGGAACUCAAGCCUCUUGAAAGGCAGCUUUUGGCACUCCGUGCUGCAGACCACCAGUUCUUUGUAACCUACUGGCAGAGGUGACUUACCGCUGUGGAUAAAUUUGAAGACUUACCCGUUUUGAAUAAAUUGGGUCUAGACACAGACAUAAUCCUCACCAUGAUCUCCAGGUCAGCAUGUGUGAUGUUCUUGGCUGUAACUUUAAGUACCCCUGGAAUAGCUCAAAAGGUCAACCAGCCAGAAACAGCUACAGCUUUUGAUGGAAAACCUUAUCACCUGAGCUGCAGCCUGUCUUCCGAAUCAAGCGAUAUAAUCCACUGGUACCGGCAGUUCCCAGGGCAAGGACCUCAAUAUAUUGCUGGUGUAUAUCCAGGGCAAUCUCAGGAAAGUGCUGAUCCAAAGAGCACAUUGUACGUAGACCAGGACAAGAAAUCCAACACUCUUGAGCUCCAUCGGGUCACUGUGGCAGAUGCUGCAGUGUACUACUGUGCUCUGAGUGGCACAGUGUGUCAGGGAGGGACCAUCCCUAUUCAAAAACUCCUCUCAGAGGCUGAGCAGAGGAGGAGCUAAGGCAGGUGCAGGGAGAGAGUCAGCACACAACAACAUGCAGCGUAAGCUGGUGUAGCAAAGGGGUUUAGUGUUGAUCCAGGAAAUCAACACAGUUCAGAUUUCAACGAUGCUUCAAACCCAUGAAGUAGUUUUGAGGCAACCACCAUUCACUUAACACCAACUCAAUCUGAAAUAUGGGGAUAUGAUGCCAAACUGAUUUUCAAAGCCAGGA